rnacentral:sRNA from 1 species
GGAGGUGGAGGUUGCAGUGAGCUGAGAUCGCGCCAUUGCACACUCUAGCCUGGGCAACAAAAGCAAAACUCCGUCUCAAAAAAUAAAAAAGAACCCUAGACCCAACUUGCUCUAGGAGGCAGAAGUGAAAUGGCCUCGAAGCCUACAGAUAAAUCCUGCCUCUACCAUUUACCAGCUGGGUGACCUUGGGCAGUUUGCUUGACCUCUCUGAGCCUUUAUUUCCUUGUGGACAAUUUGGGCAUGACAGUGGCAUCUACUGGCAUGAACAAGGUUGCUGAGAGGGCUGCCAUGAGGGGCGUGGCCCAGCAGUUCCCACCACGCUGAGCACAUGGCAGGAGUUAAGGGAAUGGAAGGCAACCCAGAAGAACCCAUGACCCCUGAGAAAGGCUUGCGGAAGAAGAUGGGCAGGGAGAGGUUUGGGAGGGGACCUGGUGGGAUUUGGGGAGUCCUCAGAACUGACAUAGGGAGGCCUUACUCAAGAUCCAGCCACCUGCCAGGCGCAGUGGCUCACGCCUGUAAUCCCAGCACUUUAGGAGGCCGAGGCGAGUGGAUUGCCUGAGGUCAGGAGUUCAAGACCAGCCUGGCCCACAUGGUGAAACCUGUCUGUAUUAAAAAUACAAAAAUCAGCCAGGUGUGGUGAUGGACACCUGUAAUCCCAGCUACUCGGGAGCCUGAGGUAGGAGAAUCGCUUGAACCCAGGAGGCGAAGGUUGCAGUGAGCCGAGAUUGUGCCAUUGCACUCCAGCCUGGGUGACAGAGCAAGACUUCGUCUCAAAACAAAAACACAAAAACAAACAAAAAACAGCUACCAGGGUAAAAGCUGAGCCGGCGGGCCCUGCCUUGACUCGGAGUCCUGACUGUCCCCAGAUGAAGCGCCCUCAGUUCAGCAAGCCGCCAGGAGGCCACCACAAGACCCAGCGCUCAGGAAGGAGAAGGAUCCCCAGCCACAGCAGUUGCCACCCAUGGACCCAAAGUUGCUGAAGCAGCUGAGGAAGGCAGAGAAGGCCGAGAGGGAGUUCCGGAAGAAGUUCAAGUUUGAAGGGGAGAUCGUGGUUCACACGAAGAUGAUGAUCGACCCCAACGCUAAGACACGUCGCGGGGGUGGCAAGCACCUCGGGAUCCGGCGCGGGGAGAUCCUGGAGGUGAUCGAGUUCACCAGCAAUGAGGAGAUGCUGUGCCGGGACCCCAAAGGCAAAUAUGGCUACGUGCCCAGAACAGCGCUCCUGCCCCUGGAGACGGAGGUGUACGAUGAUGUCGACUUCUGCGACCCCCUGGAAAACCAACCACUCCCCCUGGGACGGUAAGACCGGUAGGCAUGGGGCCAGGACAGCCGCCAGCCCAGCGCCCGCUCACCCAGGAGCCCUGGAUCCCAGCACUGGAAAGUCACAGAGCUGCCCGGACUUGUAC